GCUAGCGGCAGGCUUAAUACAUGCAAGUCGAGGGGUAACAGGGUCUUCGGAUCGCUGACGACCGGCGCACGGGUGCGUAACGCGUAUGCAACCUACCUCUAACUGGGGAAUAGCCCCGAGAAAUCGGGAUUAAUACCCCAUAAUAUUCAUCAUUCGCAUGUUUGAUGAAUUAAAGUUCCGACGGUUAGAGAUGGGCAUGCGUGACAUUAGCUAGUUGGUGAGGUAACGGCUCACCAAGGCAACGAUGUCUAGGGGUUCUGAGAGGAUUGUCCC
rnacentral:rRNA from 1 species